UACGUAGGAUGCGAGCGUUGUCCGGAAUUAUUGGGCGUAAAGAGCACGUAGGCGGUUUCCUAAGUUCGGUCUUAAAGACCGGGGCUCAACCCCGGGAAUGGAUUGAAAACUGGGAGACUCGAGGACAGCAGAGGAAAGUGGAAUUCCCAGUGUAGCGGUGAAAUGCGUAGAUAUUGGGAGGAACACCAGUGGCGAAAGCGACUUUCUGGGGUGUUUCUGACGCUGAGGUUCGAAAGCUCGGGGAGCAAACAGG
rnacentral:rRNA from 1 species